CUCUCGCUGUGUGAGGGAUAAUGGCUUGAGUUUGGGACGAGAAGAAACGAAAACGAAUAGAAAUAGAGCAAUGCUGGAAAUAGUUUAUGAGUUUUCAAUGAAAUCCAGUAACGUUCCCGUCUUUAAUACAGCGUGUGCGCCCGGGUACGCUGACCCGCCUCUACGUCCAACAUUUACUAUGUGGGGCAGCUCAGCACUGCAGCCCUGUUUGUUGAUCAAGGCAAUCUCCCGGAGCUGCUCACGCACCGAAGCAGAAAUAGAAAGAAGGUGGCAAACACGACAAAGGAAAACCACAGUGAGAUGUCACCUCGCACCCGUCAGAGGGCUGCUGCCCAAAGGACCAGAAACAAGGAGUGUUACUGUCACCUGCUCUCCGUUAUCCGUACUUCAAAGGACUGGGUCAAGGCUGCUGACGCUGGGAACGUGAGUGAAUUUCGGCCCAGACAGCACAACCUUUAGAGUGAUGUGUGUGACUUCCUUUACCAGAGGGACACUGGGGACGGUGGACGGAGCCUACUCACAGCCACAUUGUCACCGCUGCACGGUGCUAACACCGAGCCCUCGUGUUCGACCAGAGACCCCUUAAUAAAAUUAAUAAAUGACUUAA